rnacentral:rRNA from 1 species
GUGGAUUAGAUACCCUGGUAGUCCACGCCGUAAACGAUGGGCACUAGAUGCUUGGGGGAGCGACCCCCUGAGUGUCGUCGCUAACGCAGUAAGUGCCCCGCCUGGGGAGUACGGCCGCAAGGCUGAAACUCAAAGGAAUUGACGGGGGCCCGCACAAGCGGUGGAGCAUGUGGUUUAAUUCGACGCAACGCGAAGAACCUUACCUAGGCUUGACAUAGCCGAGAAAGCUUCCGGAAAUGGAAGCCCCUCUUCGGAGUUCGGUUACAGGUGCUGCACGGCCGUCGUCAGCU